UCCAAGCGCGUCAUGGUUUGACAGUACAUAACAUUCUAAUUUAAACAAUCUGCUUAUGUUUUAUUGCAGUCUAACUUAAACAAUAUGCUUAUGUUUUAUUGCUAGUUUAUUCCAAUUUGCCUUUCUCUGUUUACUUCUUGGACAACUGCAAACGACGCGCAAGAUAUUGUCAGCACUGUACAUAAGCGCCAUUUACAUGCGCCGCUAAACAGUGUCAACUGACGCAUGUCACCAGUCAACUGUUCAAUUUUCAAUAUAAAUCAGGAGUAAUUAAGGUCAGACUUCUCUUGUGGUGCAUCUCUUAAUCGAUGUUUUGUGGAGACAUAAGAAGAGAACAAUGUGUGCCAUCUGUUGCCUCUCAGACAUGGGCACCGCCAGCCUCGGCGAACCCUGAGACACUUUGGAACGAGAUGUGCUUGACGGCAUCUCACGUACAUAACUUCUGGUCGGAGACCUGCGAAUGAUUACUAUCGUAACACUGAUGUAAAGAUCCUAAUCAUCUAACGGUAAUUAUUCGAAACGGGAACACUGGAAUAAAUAAAUCGAACUUAUACCACGCCUGUAUUGUGUUACAGAAUUGGAUUCUAUCGAAUUUUGCUGAUUAGAAGUGUAGCCUAUGGAAGGACACCAGAAGAAAGGAAAUAGAGAGUACAGUGUAGUAAAGUGAUGUGACAAAUUGCGGGCACAUUUAACAUGGCAAACACAAUGAAACCAGCCACAGAUAUCUGUUGAUGGAAGGUACUGAAGCUCUUUAAAAUGGCAACUCCUCAAGAGAAGGCACAAUGUGUGACCUGGUUUAUUGAGACAAAAUCAGAUUGGAUGUUCAGACUCAACGAAACUUCAGAACAAAGUAUGGAAGAGAUCCACCAUCGCACUCUUCAAUUCGUGCAUGGCACAAAAAAUUUAUGGAGACAGAGACAGUGUUGGACAAAGGGAGGAGUGGGCGACCAAGAAUAUUCAAGGAAAACAGCGAUCAUGUUUUAAAUGUCUUCACUCAUUCACCUACAAAGUCCAUCCGCACUGCUGCCAGACUGUUGCACCUACCACGUUCAACUUUGCCUCCACAAGAACUUACGGUUGUAUGCUUACAAAGUGCAACUGCUACAGACAAUUGAGUCAAAUGACAAGCCCAAAAUGGACAGAGUUUGCACUCAACAUGCUUGAACGCCUUUCAGUGACAAAGCAACUUUUCAUGAUUCUGGGACAUUAAACAUACACAAUGUGAGAAUCUGGGGAUCUGAAUACCCCUAUGUGACUAGGGAGCUUCACUGGGAUAGUGCAAAAGUGAAUGUGUGGUGUGGAAUCAUGUGCAACCGAAUAAUUGAUCCAUUUUUCUUCAACGAGUCAACAAUUACUGCAGAUGUUUACCUCAACCUUCUGACCGAAUAUGUAGCACCACAACUGAUUGACUUAGAACAAACUAUCAUUUUCCAGCAAGAUGGUGCACUACCACAUUGGGAACUGCAUGUUCAUCGGUUCCUCAAUGAAACAUUUCCAGGCAGAUGGCUUGGGAGGGAUGGGCCGAUUCCUUGGCCACCGUGUUUGCCAGAUAUCACUCCCUUGGACUUUUUUUAUGGGGGUAUGUAAAAGAUAUCAUUUAUCAAACACAGGUAUGGGACAUUGCUGACUUGAAGCAAAGGAUUCGUAAUGCCAUUGCCACCAUUGAUGACGCUAUGCUACAGCGAACAUGGCAAGAAAUCGAGUACCAUCUUGAUGUGCCCAUAUAGAGGUCUACUAAACACUGUCAAAAAAACUUUUAUAAACACUGAUUACAAUAAAGGACAUGUUGUUAAAAUACUUCAAAACUGCCAUUGUAAUAAAAUUUUGAAGUUGUAAAGGGACUUUAUGGACACCCUGUAUAUUUCCCUGUCAAAAGUCAGAUAAUUACUGGACAACUUUGUAUUUCAACAAGUAAUAACCAUUCUAUUUAUAAUCUUGUCAUUUAAUAACAG